GCGGGGCAGACACAGACCGUGCGUAUAUAUACAUAUACCUCCGACACAGGCAUUGUGUGCCAGUGGUAGCGGUAUCAGAAGUAGCCAGAGACGGAGUCAGUCGGUUGUGGCGCGCCUCCGCUACGACUGUACGCGCGUACCAUCUCCCAUUAUCUAGCUGUAUCCAGUCGCGGGUGAAAUUUUCGUCGUAAAAAAAAACAGCCCCUCCGCGUGUGUGCUUCCUUAUAAUAAUACACGCUGUUGUGCUUGUGUCAUAUGUACCUGUGCAGAGAUCAUGAUAAUGUAUGAAUUUGCAUCGUCGUAAGCACACGUGCUUAUACCCCUACGCGUGUGCGGCUGUUUUUCCUUUUACACCCAUGUGCGCGGGUCAAAAAUUUAAUUAACAUACACGAAAGGUUUUGACGCGCGGAUAGGAUAUAUUGUGAGCCCCAAAAACGCACGAGUGAAAAAAAGAGGUGAAUCCGGUGUGAACCGAAUAGAAAAAAGUUAAUAUAAUACGAGAGAAGAAA